CAACUAGCAUGGGAUUGUUGCCGAAGCAGAUUUUUAGUUAAGAACCCAUCCCUGAAGGAGCUAUAUCCACUCCAGGCCGGUAUGUGGCUCUAGAAGUUUUCCUAAAUGAGGAAUACAACACAAAAGUGGAUGUUUUUUCAUUUGCGUUAAUUCUACAAUAGUAGAAAGAGAUAUGGAGCUGUUGGUGAGAAAUGAACAUGUAGCCAUCCAAUCCAAGGCCCAAUGUGUGGAAGUUGACUUGUAGCCAUCCAAUUUUGUUGAUGGAAAUGUAAUAGUUCCAUUAU